AGAAAUUUUGCAGGUGCAAUUAAGUUAGCCAAUCAAUAAACCUAACAAUCGAGAGAUUAUCCAGGUGGGCCUGACUUAAUCAUAUAAACUCUUUAAAUCUGGGUGUAGAGGUUAGCGACAGAGAAAUCAGAUACUAGAUGCAUCCUUUCUGACUUGAAGAUGAAGGCAAUUUUGUGACAAGUGAUGCUGGUGGCAUGUAAGACCUGUAAGCAGGCCCCAGCUGACAGUCCGUUAGAAAGGAAACAGGGGCUGCAGUUCUCCAACUGCAAAACACGGAAUUUUGCUUGAAAUUUAACUUGGAAGCAGACUUUCUCCCAGAGCUUCUAGAUGAAAACUCAGCCUGGCCAACCCCUUGGUGUCAGCUUUGUGUUACCCUGAGCAGGUACCCAAGACAUAUGGUUCUGGACUGUGGACCCACGGAAAGGGUGAGCAUCCACAUCUACCACCCGUGACCAGACUUCUCCACCUGUUGGCGAGCUUAAGUUAAAGUUAUCAAUAUAUGCCCCAAAACAGCAAUCACCUGGAUGAGAAGCAGAUGACAUCUAAUGUAGACUGUGAAUCCCAAGACACAGACCAGUCCCUGGACGGCUGCUUUCUCUCACAAUGCCAAGACCCUGAUUACACUCUGGUGACAAGAGCUACUUUCAAUCCAAGGAAAGAAGAGGCUUUCUCACUAUUCACACGCGGAGGCACAUGGCAUUUCCUCUGAAACCCAUGAAGCAGACCUCUGCAGCAGUGUUUCCUCGUGCUACGAAAUGGGGCCAAUUCUGGCCAUUAUGUUCACCAGCUUUAUAUAUUCCCUUACUUAUACAAUAGUAGGAAAAUUAAAGUUAAUUCUUUUCAGUUUUGACGGUAUCUAAAAGGCCUUUAUUUGAUGUCAAUAAGUAUCCCAUUUAAAAAUGAGAAAACAAGAAUAUUCACUUACUAUGAAGUGGGUACAUGUAUAGGAGAGAGAAAAAUAGGAGACAAAAGAUGAUAUUGUGAGUCCUUAAUUUUAAAAUGAUAUAAUUUUGUUUUGAAUUAAAGUUUUUGACAAAAUAUCAUUUAACCUGCUAUUGAAGGUACUUCCAAGUUGAUAAAACUAUUAAGAUAAAAAUGAAUUUCAUAUUUUAAGCAAAAUGUGAAAGUAGUACCCCACUUAUUAAAUACAUCGUUCAAACCUCAAUAGAACAGUAUUACAUCUCUAAUUUGUAUCUGCUUAUUAUAUAAUAAAUAUUGGAAAUCACAACACUAAUCAUCGUAGAUAAAAAGAUAUGUAACUUUUGAAUGGUAGAAAAUUUUAACGUUAAUUUAAAAAAAUUAGCCUGAGGUAAAGACAAUAAGAGAAUCCCAUGAAAUGCUUAAUGAAUCAUUUAUUUAAAUCUUCUCAUCAUGAAUUUUUAUCUUUUCACACCAAACUUUUAACUUAAAAAAUCACAUUUUAAAUAGCUUUAUUGAGGUAUGAUUUGCAUACAAUAAAAUUCACUUGUUUCAUGUAUAUAAUUCAAUGACUUUUAAUAAACUUGGUGUUGUGCAACCAGCACUGCAGUUCAAUUUUAAAGAUCUUCAUCACUGAAAAAGAGCCUUUGUGCCUGUUUGCAGUUAUUUCUUGUCCACACCUCAGCUACAGGCAACUAUUAACCUAUUUUACGCAUCUAGAGAUUUGCCUUUCAUAUAGAUGGAAUGAUCCAUUUUGUGGCUUUUUGUGUCAGGCUUUUCAUAAACAUAAUGUUUUUCAAGUUUGUCCAUGUUGUAGAAUGUGCUUGUUUCUCUUUAUUGCUGAAUGGUAUUUCGUUGUCUGGAUAGACCACAUUUGUUUAUUCAUUGAGUAGAUGGACAUUUGACUUAUUUCUAGUUUUUCGGGUUUUAUGAACAAUGCUGCUAAACAUCCUCAUAAAAAUAUUUGUGUGGACAUUUUUCCAUUUCCAUUAGAUGGAUCCUAAAGAUGGAAUUUCUAGAUUGUAUGGUAAAUUUAUGUAUAUCCUUUCAAGAAACUGUCAAACACUUUUCCAAAGUGUCUACAUCAUUUUAUAUUCCCACCUGCAAUGUAUGAAGCUCCAGGGCUGUCCCACUGUAGAAACAGCAUGGAGAACGACUCAAAUGUCGCAGCCAACUGACCCAAUUAACUCCCAGACAUGGCAAUGUGCUACCUUAUAUCACGCAGCACUGGUCAAUUCAUCAAGUGAUGGCAGCUCUAAGCAAGAUGAGCCAACAAAGUUCCAAGCUGAGCCUGGUCCACAUUGGAGUAUCAUGAGUGGAUAAAUGCAAACAAAUACCAUUGUCGCAUAAAAUCUUCCUUGUUGCAAACAUAGAAAGAAUAUUGGAUCAUAUGAAACUUUUGUUUUAUUAUAAGUAGAAGUUCUAUUCCUAAAUAACAUUUCUGCUUUUGAAUUAUUGGUGUU
ensembl:lncRNA